rnacentral:rRNA from 14 species
CGGGAGGCAGCAGUGGGGAAUUUUGGACAAUGGGCGCAAGCCUGAUCCAGCAAUGCCGCGUGAGUGAAGAAGGCCUUCGGGUUGUAAAGCUCUUUUGUCAGGGAAGAAACGGCGGGGGUUAAUACCUUCCGCUAAUGACGGUACCUGAAGAAUAAGCACCGGCUAACUACGUGCCAGCAGCCGCGGUAAUACGUAGGGUGCAAGCGUUAAUCGGAAUUACUGUGCGUAAAGCG